rnacentral:rRNA from 1 species
GUUGAACGCUGACAGAAUGCUUAACACAUGCAAGUCAAUUGGCGGACGGGUGAGUAACUCGUAAAGAACUUGCCUCACGGAUAGGGACAACAUUUGGAAACGAAUGCUCAUACCUGAUACCUUGAGAGCGCUUUGCGUCCCAUUUGCUAGUUGGAGGGGUAACGGCUCACCAAGGCGAUGAUGGGUAACCGGGCUGAGCGGGUGAUCGGCCACAAGGGGACUGGGACACGGCCCUUACUCCUGCGGGAGGCAAGAGUGGGGAAUAUUGGACAAUGGAGCAAAGUCUGAUCCAGCCAUGCCGCGUGUCUGAAGAAGGCUUCGGGUUGUAAAGGACUUUUGUUAGGGAAGCUACGACUGAAGAAGAAGCACCGGCUAACUACGUGCCAGCAGCCGCGGUAAUUC